rnacentral:rRNA from 1 species
CCUACGGGAGGCUGCAGUGAGGAAUAUUGGUCAAUGGCCGAGAGGCUGAACCAGCCAAGUCGCGUGAGGGAAGACGGCCCUACGGGUUGUAAACCUCUUUUGUCGGGGAGCAAAGAGAGUCACGUGUGACUCUUCGAGAGUACCCGAAGAAAAAGCAUCGGCUAACUCCGUGCCAGCAGCCGCGGUAAUACGGAGGAUGCGAGCGUUAUCCGGAUUUAUUGGGUUUAAAGGGUGCGCAGGCGGAGGUGCAAGUCAGCGGUAAAAUUGAGGGGCUCAACCCCGUACUGCCGUUGAAACUGCAUCCCUUGAGUGCGCGAGAAGUAUGCGGAAUGCGUGGUGUAGCGGUGAAAUGCAUAGAUAUCACGCAGAACUCCGAUUGCGAAGGCAGCAUACCGGCGCGCAACUGACGCUCAUGCACGAAAGCGUGGGUAUCGAACAGGAUUAGAUACCCCGGUAGUC